UACGAAGGGGGCUAGCGUUGCUCGGAAUUACUGGGCGUAAAGGGCGCGUAGGCGGGUCGUUUAGUUAGAGGUGAAAGCCCAGGGCUCAACUUCGGAACUGCCUUUAAUACUGCCAGUCUAGAGUCCGGAAGAGGUAAGUGGAACUCCUAGUGUAGAGGUGGAAUUCGUAGAUAUUAGGAAGAACACCAGUGGCGAAGGCGGCUUACUGGUCCGGUACUGACGCUGAAGGUGCGGAAAGCCGUGGGGAGCAAACAGG
rnacentral:rRNA from 1 species